UACGUAGGGGGCUAGCGUUGUCCGGAUUUAUUGGGCGUAAAGAGCGUGUAGGCGGCCAGGUAGGUCUGGUGUGAAAACUCGAGGCUUAACCUCGAGAUGUCAUCGGAAACCAUCUGGCUAGAGUCCGGAAGAGGAGAGUGGAAUUCCUGGUGUAGCGGUGAAAUGCGUAGAUAUCGAGAGGAACACCAGAGGUGAAGACGGGUUGCUGGGCCGACACUGACGCUGAUAGCGCGAAAGCCAGGGGAGCAAACGGG
rnacentral:rRNA from 1 species